AUUGAACGCUGGCGGCAGGCCUAACACAUGCAAGUCGAACGGGUGGCGGACGGGUGAGUAAUGGAUGGGCAAGUGCCUGAUGGAUGGGGAUAACUACUGGAAACGGUAGCUAAUACCGCAUACCAUCAGAUGUGCCCAGAUGGGAUGAGCUAGUUGGUGGGGUAACGGCUCACCAGGGCGACGAGCCCUAGCUGGUCUGCGAGGAUGAACGGCCACACGGGAACUGAGACACGGUCCAGACUCCUACGGGAGGCAGCAGUGGGGAAUAUUGCACAAUGGGCGAAAGCCUGAUGCAGCCAUGCCGCGUGUAUGAAGAAGGUCUUCGGGUUGUAAAGUACUGUCAGCGGGGAGGCGUUACCCGCAGAAGAAGCACCGGCUAACUACGUGCCAGCAGCCGCGGUAAUAC
rnacentral:rRNA from 1 species